rnacentral:rRNA from 1 species
GAUGAACGCUAGCGGCAGGCUUAAUACAUGCAAGUCGAGGGGCAGCACGGGUAGCAAUACUUGGUGGCGACCGGCGCACGGGUGCGUAACACGUAUACAAUCUACCUAUAACAGGGGGAUAGCCUUUCGAAAGAGAGAUUAAUACCCCGUAACACACGAAACGGCAUCGUUUUUUGUUGAAAGUUCCGACGGUUAUAGAUGAGUAUGCGUCUGAUAGCUAGUUGGUAGUGUAAUGGACUACCAAGGCGACGAUCAGUAGGGGAUCUGAGAGGACUACCCCCCACACUGGUACUGAGACACGGACCAGACUCCUACGGGAGGCAGCAGUAAGGAAUAUUGGACAAUGGUGGCAACACUGAUCCGGCCAUGCCGCGUGCAGGAAGACGGCCCUAUGGGUUGUAAACUGCUUUUGUACCAGAGAAAACCUAUCUACGUGUAGAUAGCUGAUAGUAUGGUAAGAAUAAGCAUCGGCUAACUUCGUGCCAGCCGCCGCUGUAAAAC